GAAAGAUAUCAGAUUUGGAGCUGCCUGAUGUGAAUAGUGUAUGCUACUAUUGAGGGUUGACUAUAAGUAGAAGCUACUAGGCUUCUCCCUCUCCAUCAGCCGACCACCAUUACCACUACCAUACGUUCAUGGUGUAGUGAGAGAAACUCUCCCUUUUCUCUCUCUAAAUAUCUCUCUCAUCUCUCUAUAUUUCUCGCCCAAAUUCGCGGCGUUGGUGGAGAUCGAGCUUGCGAACGCGUUGGAGGCGACGGAUUGAGCUUUCGUGCGCCCGUUGGAGCGACGUGUUUUCGUUGCGGCGUUCAUAUUGGGGUCACUGAACGCGUUGGAAGCGACAGUUCGGCGAUUCGUUGAGCCGGUACAAAGUUAUUAAAGAAACGGGCGUUUAGGCUUCGUUUCCGCCUAGAGGGCCGAGGCGACGUCGUAAAGUCCUGGAAACGGAUUUGAAGCAUCGUAAUAGAAAACCGAAGACCUUUAAUUUUCGGAUCGCGGAUCGGAGGUCGUUUGGCGGUCGCGCGCGGAUUGGGUCAAGCCGAGCGGCGUGUGCCGCGGGAGGCCGAUUGCGAGUGACGACGAGCAAUCGGUACGCGAUAAAAGGUGGGGGGUGUCUAUCCGAAGCAAUCGGGCUUCCUUCUAUGUCCGAGUAAAAUAGUUGAUCAUAUUUCAUAUAUAUGGUUCUUAUGCAUUAUAGGAUAUAUGUAUAGUUACAUUUCUACUUUCCUUGAAUGCAUGUCUAGUUGUGUAGUAUUAUAGACUUGACACUUAAAUCUAGAAUGCAUGAUGAUUAAGGUUGAGACAUGAGAUCCUAUGAUGAUAAGAGAAUAAAGAACUUGGACUUGACAAUGAAACUAGUGACAUGUGAACUAGUGUAAUGGAGAUUGUAUGCACGUAGCAUUAUGAAUGGAUUGCAUGCUAGUUGAUUAUGGCA